UAAAUUUCACGUGUUUCCAAAGGAUGAAGGGCGCAGGCAGAUGUGGAUACAGGCAGUGAAACGAAAAGAUUUCAAGCCUACUGCGCACACACGCAUCUGUUCGAAGCACUUUGAAGAAAACUGUUUCGACAAAGAAAAGACUGGUGGGAAUUGGCUUCACAGUGACGCCGUGCCAACAAAAUUCGAUUUCCCUGAGCAUCUGCAAGCAAAGAGAGCCAAGCUUCGUAAACCUCCGACUAAGAGAGAUUCAUUAGACGAAAUUUCAUGUGCAGAAACUUCCCAUAAUUCUCCCGCUGUACAAGCUUCUGAAGUAAAAGCUGGA